UACGGGGGGGGCAAGCGUUGUUCGGAAUUACUGGGCGUAAAGGGCGCGUAGGCGGCGCGGUAAGUCACUUGUGAAAUCUCUGAGCUUAACUCAGAACGGCCAAGUGAUACUGCAGUGCUAGAGUGCAGAAGGGGCGAGUGGAAUUCCUGGUGUAGCGGUGAAAUGCGCAGAUAUCAGGAGGAACACCAAUGGCGAAGGCAGCUCGCUGGAACGGUACUGACGCUGAGGCGCGAAAGCGUGGGGAGCGAACAGG
rnacentral:rRNA from 1 species